UACGGAGGGUGCAAGCGUUAUCCGGAUUCACUGGGUUUAAAGGGUGCGUAGGUGGGUCUGUAAGUCAGUGGUGAAAUCUCCGGGCUUAACCCGGAAACUGCCAUUGAUACUAUAGGUCUUGAAUUUUCUGGAGGUCAGCGGAAUAUGUCAUGUAGCGGUGAAAUGCUUAGAUAUCGAGAGGAACACCUGCGGCGAAGGCGGGUUGCUGGGCUGAUACUGACGCUGAUGCGCGAAAGCCAGGGGAGCGAACGGG
rnacentral:rRNA from 1 species